rnacentral:rRNA from 1 species
GUUUCGCACCUUGCGAAAUCUUGCUUUCGAUGUCCUCAAGACGCUCUUUGUAGCGUUGUCGGGAUGCCUCGUCUCUGGCCAACUGGGUCAUUUCCUUAACACAGCUCGGGGAGGUAGUGACGAAAAAUAACAAUACAGGACUCAUAUCCGAGGCCCUGUAAUUGGAAUGAGUACACUUUAAAUCCUAUAACAAGGACCAAUUGGAGGGCAAGUCUGGUGCCAGCAGCCGCGGUAAUUCCAGCUCCAAUAGCGUAUAUUAAAGUUGUUGCGGUUAAAACGUUCGUAGUUGAACUUGUGCUUCAUACGGGUAGUACAACUUACAAUUGUGGUUAGUACUAUACCUUUAUGUAUGUAAGCGUAUUACCGGUGGAGUUCUUAUAUGUGAUUAAAUGCUUGUAUUUUUCAUAUGUUCCUCCUAUUUAAAAACCUGCAUUAGUGCUCUUACGGGAAAACUUACCAGGUCCGAACAUAAGUGUGUAAGACAGAUUGAUAGCUCUUUCUCGAAUCUAUGGGUGGUGGUGCAUGGCCGUUCUUAGUUCGUGGAGUGAUUUGUCUGGUUAAUUCCGAUAACGAACGAGACUCAAAUAUAUUAAAUAGAUAUCUUCAGGAUUAUGGUGCUGAAGCUUAUGUAGCCUUCAUUCAUGUUGGCAGUAAAAUGCUUAUUGUGUUUGAAUGUGUUUAUGUAAGUGGAGCCGUACCUGUUGGUUUGUCCCAUUAUAAGGACACUAGCUUCUUAAAUGGACAAAUUGCGUCUAGCGAUAAUGAGAUUGAGCAAUAACCGGUCUGUGAUGCCCUUAGAUGUCCUGGGCUGCACGCGCGCUACAAUGAAAGUAUCAACGUGUAUUUCCUAGACCGAGAGGUCCGGGUAAACCGCUGAACCACUUUCAUGCUUGGGAUUGUGAACUGAAACUGUUCACAUGAACUUGGAAUUCCCAGUAAGUGUGAGUCAUUAACUCGCAUUGAUUACGUCCCUGCCCUUUGUACACACCGCCCGUCGCUACUACCGAUUGAAUUAUUUAGUGAGGUCUCCGGACGUGAUCACUGUGACGCCUUGCGUGUUACGGUUGUUUCGCAAAAGUUGACCGAACUUGAUUAUUUAGAGGAAGUAAAAGUCGUAACAAGGUUUCCGUAGGUGAACCUGCGGAAG